AGAGUGAACGCUGGCGGUAGGCCUAACACACGCAAGUCGAACGGCAGCACAGUAGGAGCUUGCUCUUACGGGUGGCGAGUGGCGGACGGGUGAGGAAUACAUCGGAAUCUACCUUUUGGUGGGGGAUAACGUAGGGAAACUUACGCUAAUACCGCAUACGCCCUUCGGGGGAAAGCCGGGGACCAGCAAUGGCCUGGCGCUGAUAGAUGAGCCGAUGUCGGAUUAGCUAGUUGGUGAGGUAAUGGCUCACCAAGGCGACGAUCCGUAGCUGGUCUGAGAGGAUGAUCAGCCACACUGGAACUGGGACACGGUCCAGACU
rnacentral:rRNA from 1 species